rnacentral:rRNA from 1 species
UACGAAGGGGGCUAGCGUUGCUCGGAAUCACUGGGCGUAAAGGGCGCGUAGGCGGCCAUUCAAGUCGGAGGUGAAAGCCCAGGGCUCAACCCUGGAAUUGCCUUCGAUACUGUCUGGCUAGAGACCGGAAGAGGUAAGUGGAACUGCGAGUGUAGAGGUGAAAUUCGUAGAUAUUCGCAAGAACACCAGUGGCGAAGGCGGCUUACUGGUCCGGUACUGACGCUGAGGUGCGAAAGCGUGGGGAGCAAACAGG